GCGCCGGGGAGGCUGGGCGGAGCGGCUGCGGCGCCCGGGACCGCCCCCUUGGCCGGGUCAAGGCUGAGUACCUCUUCACGUUCGUUCUCGUGCUUCAUUCCACUACCACGUGAGCCCGAAAUAGAAAGUUUCCUCCACCUACACCCAAAGCUUAAACGGAGGAGGAUGUGGAGGCAGGGAGGAACAGAGACAGGACGCUCCAUAGGAGCCCGCAGGAAGUUUCUGGAAAUGUGACUGAAUGGGAUCCUUGACUUUUCAUGGGCUGAAACAACUCACCGAGCAGCUCUGACAAGGUUGAAGCCCCGAAUGAAGACUCUCCUAUCGAGCAUGGCACAGAGCAUCUUUCAGAAUCGGAGGGCAAAAGCCAGACCGUCUCUCUGAGCAAGGCCAAGUUCUUUAGUACACAAUCCUACACACACACACACACACACACACACACACACACACACAAUGACACACAUGUAAAGCUUAUGAACAGCAGCAUUGUUUGUCAUACCAAAAGUUUGGAACAACCUAAGUAUCUCUCAGGGGAGGGCAAGGUGAAUACAUGUAUGCAAUAUUGACCAGGAAAAAAAAAGAAAGAAGGUUUUCAUGUACCAGCAUGGAACAAUAUAUUACAAAAAAUAAGAACUCGUGUUUACUACCAUGUACAACAAACAUUUGAGAAUUUGCUAACAAAUGCACAGACU